GAAACUCAUAACACCGCGACACACGCGGAAAUAAGAGAUGUAGAUUUGGAGGAAGAUUCCACUGCUCAAAUUUCCCUUAAUGUUGCUAAGCAUGGGGGUAUGUCUCCAAGGCAUAUUGAACCUGUGAAAUUUCCAGCAAAAGAAAAAAAGAAACAGUCAAAAGAGAACUCAAAUGCACAAUCCAAGGGAGUAAAAACAAGGAGCA
rnacentral:lncRNA from 1 species